GUUCCAGUCCAGCUCCUUCUGGUGACCAUCUGAUCUCAAAGAAGCCCUGUAAUCAUCUUUUAGCCACACACUUCGUGUGUUUGUGCCUUCUGCUGCCUGCAUUCUCCACAC
rnacentral:lncRNA from 12 species